rnacentral:rRNA from 1 species
CCUACGGGCGGCAGCAGUGAGGAAUAUUGGUCAAUGGACGAGAGUCUGAACCAGCCAAGUAGCGUGAAGGAUGACUGCCCUCUGGGUUGUAAACUUCUUUUAUAUGGGAAUAAAAUGUUCCACGUGUGGGAUUUUGUAUGUACCAUAUGAAUAAGGAUCGGCUAACUCCGUGACAGCAGCCGCGGUAAUACGGAGGGUCCGGGCGUUAUCCGGAUUUAUUGGGUUUAAAGGGAGCGUAGGUGGAUUGUUAAGUCAGUUGUGAAAGUUUGCGGCUCAAACGUAAAAUUGCAGUUGAAACUGGCAGUCUUGAGUGCAGUAGAGGUGGGCGGAAUUCGUGGUGUAGCGGUGAAAUGCUUAGAUAUAACGAAGAACUCCGAUUGCGAAGGCAGCUCACUGGACUGCAACUGACACUGAGGCUCGAAAGUGUGGGGAUCAAACAGGAUUAGAUACCCUUGUAGUC